rnacentral:rRNA from 1 species
UAUAAAACUAAGCUUCCCAAACACGCUAUAACUUUCAUGCAAUUUUAAUAAUAACGUAAAAAAUCGAGCCAAAAUCAAACACUUCAACAAAAUAAAAUAAAAAAACUUAUAA